AAGCGGGCCACCAUGUUGUGUUUCGAAGCGUUUGUUUAUCUACACGUUUGUUGGAUCGAGUGCUAUGUUCGUGCUUUAAACUAGCGAUUACAGAGUUUACGUGUAGUGAAGCUACUGUGAACAUGGUUUAUAAAUGUUGUGUGCCAAGGUGUCGUGGGAAUUACGGAACUGGACCGAAAGUAAUGUUGUUUUCCUUUCCGAAAGAUGCGAAUCUGCGUUGGAAAUGGCUUUCAGCAAUUCAUCGGGACAAUUUCCAACCUACUGAGCACACGAAGGUUUGUGAACUUCAUUUCACCGAAUCUGACAUCUGCCGGCAUACAGAAUGUUAUGAUGAAGUGAAAGGCACAAAGCUUUCUGUCAAGCUUUCAAGACCGAGGCUUAGAGAGGGUGCUGUCCCAUCAGUGUUACCAGGCUGCCCAAGCUAUUUGUCUACUCCAUCCACCAGCUCUCGAGAAAGUGCAGAGGAAAGGAGAGCUAGAUUGGACAAUGAACAUCUUCUACAAGCAAUUAAAGACAGUAUAGUAACCAAAACAGAGUAUGAUUUUCUACAUUUGAAGCAUUUCUGCAGUGCCUAGAAAGAGAAACCAUUCCCAGUGAAUGGACCAUUGUUAGGAGAAGUGACUGUGUCCUAUUUCUAUUGCUUACUGUAUUGCCUGCUCCAUCUGUGUCUGUAUCUGUAGUAGUGACAAAUGAUUUGCAGUUGUCUGCAUAUCGAAGUAACACUGAGAUAAGAAAGAUAGGCAGUAGAAAAAUAUCACACAAACUUUCAAAUAUGAAUGAUUUGUUUACAGUAUUAGACAAAGUGAAAGAAUUAGUCAGUGCAAAAGAAAAUUCAUUAAAAAUCCAGUGCCUUCUUAUACAGGACAUUUUAAAUGACAUGUGCAGUUCUGUAGAUGAAGAAAAACAGAAACAAAUUCAAUUCUUAAGUGAGCAAGUUAAGUUGCUAUGUAGCUGUGAGGAAAACUAUAGGUUUAAUCCUCACUUUUCUAUAUUUUGUUGUAUCCUGCAUUCUAUCUCCCCUCAUGCCUAUAAAUUUUUGAGGUCAUCUGGCAAUCUUAUUCUUCCUCAUCCAAGAACUUUACAGAAAAUAUGUUCCUCAUAUACUAAUGAUCCUCAUAAUGAACAAAAUGAAGGUGCUAUGCUCCUGUAUAUUAAGAAAGAUUUAAAUCUUUGCAGGAAAGUGAUUGUACCAUUUCAUUAAUGAUGGAUGAAAUUCCUAUUAAACCUUAUUUUGAUUACAAGGGAGGAAACAUUGUGGGGGCAGCAUUUGAUAGUGACAAGGCUGCUACUACAGCAUAUGUCUUUAUGGUACAAUCAUUGCUGUCUUCUUUUAAAGAAGUAGUGCAUGUCCUUCCAGUGAGAAACCUUGCAGCUGAACAGCUAUUUUUGUAUGUGAAGAAAAUAUUAUGUGGCCUUUAUGACAUUGGUUUCAAAGUUAUUUGUGUAGUUAGUGACAACAAUGCUUUAAAUAGGAAAUCUAUGGCACUUUUUAGCUCACCUCCAAAACUCAGUAUAGUUUACCCACAUCCAGCUAAUCCAACUCAGCCACUAUUUUUUAUAAUUGAUUCUGUCCACAUCCUUAAGUGUAUACGUAAUAAUUGGGUUAAUCAAAAGGACUCUCAAGUUUUGCUCAAAUAUCCACAAUUUGAUGGCAGCAGUGAUGAUUGUCAGGUGUUAAUGGCAUCUUUUGAAGCAUUGAGGCAGCUUCAUAAGAUUGAAUGUAAUUGUCUACUUAAGCACUCUUAUGGUCUUUCUUUGAAGUCUCUUUAUCCAUCUUCACUUGAGAAACAGAAUGUGAGCCUUGUUUUGCAGGUAUUCAGUGAAUAUACAGCUGAAGCCGUUUCAACUGUAGGAGAACAGAAAAACUUGUUACAUUACCAGACCACUGCAGAAUUUAUUAAAAUUAUUCUUACAUGGUGGAAAAUUGUAAAUGUUAAGACAGUUCACAAAGGUGUUCGACUAAAUGAUCUCUUCCAGUGCCCUCUGUCUUUAAGUAAUAAUGAUGAAAAAUUAGUUUUUUUUGGAAAAGUUUCUUGUGUGGCUUGAUAAGUGGAAGGACUUAGGCCUGAAAAAUAAUACCCUUUCAAAAGAUACACAUAUAGCUCUGACACACACAACCUAUGGUUUGAUUGAGAUGGCAAGGUACUGGACUAAAGAGCUUGGUUUCACUUAUUUUUUGCCUGGAAAAAUUCAGACUGAUUCUCUGGAAGCAAGGUUUAGCAGUUACCGAUCAAUGGCUGGCUCUCAGUAUCUUAUAUCUGUGAGACAGAUUUUUGAAGUGGAAGCGAAGAUGAGGAUGCAGAACAUGUUACCACUCAUGUUGAAUUCAAGUACUUUUGGUAAACUGCCUGUUGCAGAAGGGUUCAUCUUCAAUUGUAAUGAUGACACAAAAGAGACUAUACAAACAGACUCUGAGUUUAUGGUUGACAUUAUGUAUUUGGAAGAAGAUUUCAGGCUGGCAGAAACAUACCUUCCAAUAUUAACAUAUUUAGCAGGGUAUUGUGUUCGCAGUGUACUGAAGAAACGGCAGUGUGAGGUGUGCAGCAAAUACCUUCUCUUAGACAAAGAAAUGUGUCUGCAUGGUGAACAACAUCUUAGUUUAAUCAAAAAUUUGGACAGGGGUGGUCUGUUAUUCCCUGAGCCUGAUGUUGUGAAUGUUGUUAUUUACAAUUACAUUACUGUACAGAAAUUAAUAUCUGCCCCUAAUGAAAAAAAUUUUUGUCAUCCAACAGUCAAAGGGUGCUUGUUCAAAAUGUAACCAUAAAUGCUGUUCAGAAGAAAAGUUUCUUCUUAACAGACUUUAUUUGCAGUAAUGGUCAUUCGGCAGAUGAAAUACUGAAGUUGUUAGUCAAAGCAUCCACCAACGCAUUAUUAAAUAAUUACAUUAAGAAAAAGAAUGACACCUUUACUGCUUCUUUUAAGAAACGGAAGCUUAGCACAUUUUAAUUUGCGUACAUUUUACAUGCUAGCACAUUUAUCAGGUGUCACAGGAAAUUUCUAUUAUGUCUCACACAUUCAGUUACACUGUAUUUGGUCCACUGAAAGCAGAGGCAGGUUCCAUAAUCCAUAUUGGUGUAGUACCUUCAACUGAAUGCACACUAAUAGUCAUUUGGUCCAUAAAGCCUGUAAGUUGUGGAUAAUUUGCUUCCAACAGUUUCACAUGUCAGAAGGUCACAACUGUUUCCAUGCAGACUAUUCAGCUGAAGUAAAUACUUUGUCCAGCACUAAUGGCUAGUUUCAAUCUCAUCAUUGUAAAAUUUUAUCAGUUUGUGUACACAUCCAUCUGUGCACCAGAUGCUGGCCUAAGGUUGAAACUGGGCCAGUUUUUCCUAGUAAAGUUUUUAUGUCUUUCAGCUAUUCUGUGCACAAAUAUUUACAUCUUCCUUUCAAUUUGUUGAGCAUGUGCUGCCCAACAAGAAGAAAUCUGUUAAUGUAAUUCUGUAUUAAACCUCAUGUAAUUCAUUAUAACUAUGUAUGUAAUUAGAGGCUAUUAUUUUGGCAUGCAGACGUAUAAAACUUGCGGUAGAAUAUUACAAUACUACAAAAGGGAAAGCCAAAAAUGGAUUUCUCCCAUUGUCCUGAAUCAGAAUGACACCAGGGUGUUUCCUAAUGUAGUUACUUCUCAUAAUAGCUGUUCAUCUAAAUUUUGAUACAAGCUGUCAGUAUUGUUGCAUAUGGGUAACAAUUAGUUAUCACUUUGCAUAUAUUAUUUUACUGAGACAUAGUUACAUUCUAGUAGUUGCUUAUUCCACUCACAGUUUGGAACAGUUUAAUAUCAGACACAGUAGUUGGUCUCCAUUCCCAAAUUUGCAUCUCAUCCAGACUGUGACCCUUAGUUUGUUACUAAUCUUAUUGUGUUUUUUUUUUAACUUAUGAAACCCCUUGGUAGUGUGACGCUGUGUGUCAGACUUGGACCGCACAUGAGUGUCAUGUUGCUGCAUUUUAUUUGAAUGUGUAGGACAUUAUAUCCUACACCAUUAAGUUUAAUUUGGAAUCAGUGUAAAAUUGUUACAGUUUUGAUUUAUGUUGUACAUCUUUAGUUAAUCCCAGAGUUAGUUCCUCUGAUUUAUUUUGUUCACACUUCAGUUCAUUACAAGGAAAUUGGCCUACUUCUAGCUUAUGGCAGGGUUUUCAACAAAUGUUGCAUAGCUGUGCAGUAACAAUAUAAAAGAGUUCUUUCAGUUGUGGAUCAGGUAUUCAACUGUAAUGUGAGGUUGGUCUGAUAUGUCAUACUCAGUAUUACCAUUACUUAUUAGUUUCCAACGACUAGCUACAUUUUCACGUCGUUGAAUGUCCUUCAGUAGUGCCUCAUCCCAGUACACCUUUAUAUCAUGGUGCAUACAUUCCAACAAAUGUUUGUUGCUCUAGUACUCUGUCUGAGUUAAUACUUUUGUCAGCAACAUAAGUCAUUGUUAGUCACAAUUAUUAAAUUUUAUAGACAAUAAGACUGGUAAUGUAACUUGUUAUACGCAUCUGACAUGUUUUGCAACUGUAAUUUUUCACAAAAUACAAUAUAUCAAAUGUGUACAACUAAUCAAUCAUUCUGAAAGUAGAAAAGGCUUGCUGCCUUUUAAGAUGGAAAUCGUGAUCUAUUUCUGUAAUGGAACCAUGUUGUGCCCUGGAUUUUGUAACAGCAUUUUCAGGAAGUAGAUGUACAUAUGACUGACUUAAAUAAAUUAUAGUUCAUUA